UUAGGCAGAUCGAUUAGACUUAAACAUAGACGAAAAUGGAUCAGCCUUGUAAGAGUUGAAAUCACGGUCAAUUCGAAAUCCACUGCUGGAUAAAGAUGUCGCGUUAUCUGAAAUCGAGAGGACAGUGUAGGUGCAGGGUAAUGUAGUUGCAUUGCCGUGUUUUACAAAUGCAGGGGUGGACAUGUGUGUACGCAGAUCGCAGUUGAAAAGCCUUCACAGAGGACAUCCUCAAGCCUUAGUUCCAGCCAGUUUCAUGUGGAAAUGGUUUUGAUUCUUUCUCUCGGGCUUGUAUUACCAGAAGCUCUGUAAUGGCUUUUGUGGAGUAUUCACGGGGAUUUUGCUAUAUGCUGUGGGGAACUGUGCAAUGCAAUUGGGUGCCAGUAUGAACCGCUCCCGGAAUUGCGCUUUGUGACUUUCGCCAGCCCUGGUGGUGAGUGGACCAGGUCAUCGACGCAAUAAUAUUGAGAGAAGAUGUUUUUGUUGAAUUGUAGCUGUUUAACCUUUGAGAUUCGAAAGUUUGCCUCUUAGAUGACAUAACCUAUCAGUGUUCGUUUCAGCUGUUCCGUCGAGAGUUUCAGGCACUCCACACAUCCUCGCCCCCUCUUCCCCUGUUCACUUCCCUUCGCCCUCGUCGCGAAACCCUCGCAGCCGUGUGCUCUCUCUUCGCCUCGAAUUGCUCGAACCUGCGCUUACAUACACGCCGUGACAUCGCUGUGCCGCAUGCAAGCAUCGUGAGAGCGAGGAGCUGCUGAUGGUUGGGAUGAAGAUUGGCAAGAUAAUGGCGGCGCAUUGAACACCAUAUCACAAUUGUAUCCUCGCUUGCCUUAUGUGCAUUCGAAUUGCGAGUUAGGAGCCAAUCUGAAUGAUUUAAAGGACGGAAGAGUUCUUCAAUUUGGAAUAUGGCAAGAACAUCUUCAAACUUGUUCGUCAACAAAGAUUCUUAGUCCAUUUUUGACGAUUGAACUUGUUUGACUCACAGUUGCAAACUCUGUGUCAUAUAUCUUGAAAGACUCAAUUUUCUCAACAGAAGAUCUAACCUGGAACUAUUUCACAGCAGGUACCACUCAACUUUAGUCGCGGAUUACAUCUACUUUAUGAUCAAUCUUGGAAGAGCUGGUGUUCAUUUUGAUGUACUGUAUGACAACAUAUUUCUACGGUGUAGAAAGCAAAUUGAACCCUCAUCAAAAUCUUCUUGAGUUAUAUUAUUUUUCGUCACCAGACAUGCGCAGUGGAAGGUCGUAAACUCGAAUGUAGUAUGCAUUGAAAAUGUUCCUCGUGUAGGUAAAUCACAGUCCUGUCAUGCUAUUCAUAUAUUGAUUUAUCCUUGCGUAGGGAUUUCUCGCGCCAUUUACUUUGUUUAGGUUGAUUAGCACUCGGUAAGACAUUCAAAUUUUAAUUUAUUUGAUGGAACUCCUAUUAUUAUCUGCAUAGUAGAAGCGUCAUCGUUUCUUACUUUUUAUUAGAAAUUUAAUUCAUGGCAAGCUUGCAGCCAUUUGUUGUUGAGCGUGAACUUUCCACAGAUUGAUUGCCUUAAUUGUGUCAUUGGUAUAAUGAGUGAUUAAGGAAACACAAAGGAUUGGAAAAAUAAGCUAAAUAAGAGGAGAUUACAAUUUUAACAGAGUAGUUUAAUAAUAUAUCACAUUCAUAAAAAUAAUUUCAACAGUUGGUGUUACAAGAUAAUUGUUGAAAGAUGUGUGAUGUUAUGAGAAAAUAUUCUAGUUUAAUGGUUAUCAAAGAUAUGAAUCAAUUUUGUUUGUAUGAAACAUGUUUAAGGAUUGACAUAUAAAUUAGUUUUGUUAACAUUUAUAUUGUCUUUGUGUGAAGGUUUUGCUGUAAUCAAACAUUUUAAGAAUCUAUGGUUACUUAAGUAAACAAAAGAGUAUAUUCAAGAAUCAAAUGUUAGUUAUUUUUUAAGGCAAAUUAUACAUAU